ensembl:lncRNA
UUCCACGGCAAGAGCCAGGAGGCCCCCUAGACCCGGGCUCUGCACUGGCCUGGGCAUCUUGCAGUGGGAAACACAGGCUGCUGAGAACCCACAGACUAAGCCACUGUCUCUCAGGACCUCUGUACCCUGUGCCCCAUGCCCUAUGCCCUGGCCCCCUGCUGUUUCAUGCAUUUCCUCUUCCCCUUGUUAAAUCCAGCUUCUGCCACACUGCUUGCUGCAGACCUAAGCCCCUCAUGGCUGAAUCCUGACUCACUUUUGAAAAUUGUGAAGUGAAGCCAGGUGUGGUGAUGCACGCAUAUAAUCCCAGCACUUGCAAGGCUGAGACCUGGCCAUGACCCAGCAGUGAUGUCCAAGCUGCUGUCCACAAGCCCCACAUGGGAUGGCCUGGCCCCACGAGGGCAUGGGUUCUGGCACGCUCUGCCCUGGGCCUGCCAUGGGGUUCCCUGCCAGGCAUGCAGAUUCCCAGCAGCUCAUGCAGGGCCCUGUGCCAUGUUCUGAGCAUGAGGUAUGUCUGGGGGGACCCAUAGCCCCUGGCAUUGCUGUGCCCCGGCAGCUGACCCACAGGCUGAAGAGCCAACUGAUGAACCAACUGUGACCACCAGGACCACAGCACCUUCUCCCAGCCCUGUCUUGCAGUGACAGCGCCCUCCCUGGGCCUGUGUCCCUCAACAGGAUCUGAGGUGACCUCCGGAAACUGGCCCCUCCUGUAUCCCUUCCCCUCCUGCAGGAUGCUCCACCCUGCAGCUCCUGCACCCCCUGGUGCUAGAGGUACAGGCUGGGCCAGGCGGUGGCCCUGCCACACAGGCUCAGAAGUACAAGAUGGGCAGUGCCACGUCUCCAUAACCUGCUGCCCGUGCUGAGGCACCCCCUGCCCCCGGAGAUCACGGAGGCUCAGGAGUCCCAUAGGACCGACAGACACACACAGAGGUCCUGGCUCCACCUCGCCACCCCAUCCUCUCCGUGUGGUCGCCCUGGGCCUGCGGGCCUCCGGGCAGCUGGGUGCUGGGGACGGAGUGGGGUGCUCUCCACAACGGCCCAGCCCCGCAUCUGAGCCACACAGCUGUCCCCGUGGCUCUGGAAUUGAGGAGCCAGCGACAUCCUGGCCAGGUCUCGGGCUCCAGGUCCUGGUUCCUGCUCCCGUCACUUCCUGGAAGAGGCCAGCAGGAGGGUGGUGGUGCUGGACUUGUGCCUGAAACAGGAUCUGGCCAUAAACCCGCAGGGCGAGGCUGUGGCUGCACACUGACCCCCUGUGGACUUUCCUCCCGCCUGGCCCACAGCUGUUGCCAUUCCCAGGAACUGGCACCUUGUUUGUUCCUUGAGGAGCUGCUGGCAUCGCCUGCCUGAGCCCCGUACCCAACCACCUUCUUGGCAGCGGGCACAGGCAGCUUCUCCCCCAGCUUCCCCAAGCCUGGACGGGGCCCAGCCUCGCCCUGCUCAGUGCUGGUGUGCAUGAGUGCAUCGGAAAUCUUCCACUGCAAGCACCCUGGGCCCCCCAGUCCCUCUGGGGCAGGUGUGAGCUCCAAACCCUCCGCCCCUGCACAGAUCCCACUGGCUGGCAGGUGGGCCUGGUGCCCCUGCUCAGGGAGAGACGCAUCCGAGGUGUUGGGGUGCCCAUGUGCCUCUGCGGCCGUGCAGUUUCCACCCUGCCGGGCAAGAGCGUGAGCAUCGCAUGGCCCAGGAAGCUCAGCGCGAGGCUGAGCUCAUCCGUGUUCCUGCGUGGGAGCGAGACCACCGCAUCUGCCCCGACCUUAGCAGCCGUGAGCGUCCCAGGCAAAGGCCUCCUUCGGAAGACACUCGGGCUCAUCAGGCAGCCCACGCAGGCGCCGCAGAGCCCUUCGCAGUUCCUGUGAUCCCAGUGCGCCUGGCCGGGCGUCCUCCACGGCCCUGGGAGGCCGGUGUCGAGGGAACAGCCCCCUUCCGGGCAUGGGGCCUGGCAAGAGGAGGCUCGCAGAAACGCGUGGAACGCUGCUCUGCUCGCCGGCUCUUUGGCCCUUGUUCUGCUCACGGCAGUGUCCCCUGAAAGUGCCGGCUAGGCUCGUGCGGGGGUCGAGGUCACCCCUACACAGGAGCCGACGGCCCCGACACCUGCAGCGCAGCCACCCCUCCCCUCGGCCUCCCCAGUCACAGCCGGGCCACCGCCUGCCUCUGCUCAUUACCGAGAAAGAUUUUUCUCCCUGCAGAAAUAGUCUCAUUUUUUACUGUGAUGAAAUGCACCUGGUAUAAAGCAGCCCACCUUGGCACGGAGCCCAUCCACACUGCAGCCAGCACCGCCGUGCGCCUCCAGGGCUCCCUCAGCUCUGCCCCUCAGACCCCCACCCCUCCCAGCCCCCAGCCCAUCCCGCUCUGUCUCCGG